AGAGUUUGAUCCUGGCUCAGGAUGAACGCUGGCGGCGUGCUUAACACAUGCAAGUCGAACGGAGUUAAGAUGAAACCUGGUGAUUCUUAACUUAGUGGCGGACGGGUGAGUAACGCGUGGGUAACCUGCCGUAUACAGGGGGAUAACACUUAGAAAUAGGUGCUAAAACCGCAUAAGCGCACAGCUUCGCAUGAAGCAGUGUGAAAAACUCCGGCGGUAUACGAUGGAUCCGCGUCUGAUUAGCCAGUUGGCAGGGUAACGGCCUACCAAAGCGACGAUCAGUAGCCGGCCUGAGAGGGUGAACGGCCACAUUGGGACUGAGACACGGCCCAAACUCCUACGGGAGGCAGCAGUGGGGAACAUUGCACAAUGGGGGAAACCCUGAUGCAGCGACGCCGCGUGAGUGAAGAAGUAUUUCGGUAUGUAAAGCUCUAUCAGCAGGGAAGAAAAUGACGGUACCUGAGAAAGAAGCCCCGGCUAACUACGUGCCAGCAGCCGCGGUAAUACGUAGGGGGCAAGCGUUAUCCGGAUUUACUGGGUGUAAAGGGAGCGUAGACGGUUGUGCAAGUCUGGAGUGAAAUGCGGGGGCUCAACCCCUGAACUGCUUUGGAAACUGUGUAACUGGAGUGCAGGAGAGGUAAGUGGAAUUCCUAGUGUAGCGGUGAAAUGCGUAGAUAUUAGGAGGAACACCAGUGGCGAAGGCGGCUUACUGGACUGUAACUGACGUUGAGGCUCGAAAGCGUGGGGAGCAAACAGGAUUAGAUACCCUGGUAGUCCACGCCGUAAACGAUGAUACCAGG
rnacentral:rRNA from 1 species